rnacentral:rRNA from 1 species
UACGGGGGUGCAAGCGUUGUUCGGAAUCAUUGGGCGUAAAGAAGCGUGUAGGCGGCUGAGCAAGUCAGAUAUGAAAUCCCUGGGCUUAACCCAGGAAGUGCAUUUGAAACUGUUCAGCUUGAGUAAGGAAGAGGGAAGUGGAAUUCCUGGUGUAGAGGUGAAAUUCGUAGAUAUCAGGAGGAACACCGGUGGCGAAGGCGACUUCCUGGUCCUAUACUGACGCUGAGACGCGAGAGCGUGGGGAGCAAACAGGAUUAGAUACCCU